rnacentral:tRNA from 1 species
GGGCCCUUCGUCUAGUGGUCAGGACAUCGGGUUUUCAUCUCGAAAACAGGAGUUCAAUUCUCCUAGGGCCUACCA